AAUUGUCUUGUCGACGGAGAGGACGAUCAGGGAGUUGUGUUCUAGCACCACGCCGACUUCGCAGUUUUCCUCUUUACACUUCAUCGCCUCUAAGGCGAUCGGAGCGAAGAGCAUCGAGGCGGGCACGGCACUUGACACGUUUGGGCGGCGUGGCGACGUGACGACGUGACGUGGGGCGCUCGACACGUUUUGGCGCAGACUAGCGAGAACCGACAGCCGUCCAACACUCCCCAAACUGCGGAGUUCGUGCCGCCACGGCCAGUCGCCUGUUUGCCACCGGAGCCGGCGCGGCGGUGAAUAUACUACUGGCGGCGAAACUCGCCACCACGCCUCGCAACCGUGGGUGUCGACUGUCGACCGUCGCCGCAGUCACGCUAUUACCUACUUUAUUGUGAGAGCCAACAGCACUAUGAUGAGGGCCACGAGAGCCAUCGCGAUCACCACACCGCCAAUCAUGUAAUUCGCAUCAUUCGGUGCAUCUGGAACAAAACAAUACAAUAUUUUACAUACAUUAUUUAAAAAGUAGGCAACAUAUCUCUACAUUCAAACAAUUUGGUUUGAUCUUUGGAGUGGAAUUACUUUUGUAUUUUUUGCACAUCCACAAUUAUUAAGACAUGAUAAAGAAAGUUCAACCAUA